rnacentral:rRNA from 1 species
AACGAACGCUGGCGGCAGGCUUAACACAUGCAAGUCGAGCGCCCCGCCAGGGGAGCGGCAGACGGGUGAGUAACGCGUGGGAACGUACCUUUUGGUUCGGAACAACUCCGGGAAACUGGAGCUAAUACCGGAUAAGCCCUAACGGGGAAAGAUUUAUCGCCGAAAGAUCGGCCCGCGUCUGAUUAGCUAGUUGGUGAGGUAACGGCUCACCAAGGCGACGAUCAGUAGCUGGUCUGAGAGGAUGAUCAGCCACACUGGGACUGAGACACGGCCCAGACUCCUACGGGAGGCAGCAGGGGGGAAUAUUGGACAAUGGGCGCAAGCCUGAUCCAGCCAUGCCGGGGGAGUGAUGAAGGCCUUAGGGUUGUAAAGCUCUUUUGUCCGGGAAGAUAAGGACUGUACCGGAAGAAAAAGCCCCGGCUAACUUCGG